rnacentral:rRNA from 1 species
CUCCUGUCAUUAGGGAACAAUUGUCCGCGAUUAACUGUCGCAGGCUUGAUAGUACCUGAAGAGGAACGAGACGGCUAACUACUGUGC